rnacentral:rRNA from 1 species
GAUGAACGCUGGCGGCGUGCCUAAUACAUGCAAGUCGAGCGAACGGACGAGAAGCUUGCUUCUCUGAUGUUAGCGGCGGACGGGUGAGUAACACGUGGAUAACCUACCUAUAAGACUGGGAUAACUUCGGGAAACCGGAGCUAAUACCGGAUAAUAUUUUGAACCGCAUGGUUCAAAAGUGAAAGACGGUCUUGCUGUCACUUAUAGAUGGAUCCGCGCUGCAUUAGCUAGUUGGUAAGGUAACGGCUUACCAAGGCAACGAUGCAUAGCCGACCUGAGAGGGUGAUCGGCCACACUGGAACUGAGACACGGUCCAGACUCCUACGGGAGGCAGCAGUAGGGAAUCUUCCGCAAUGGGCGAAAGCCUGACGGAGCAACGCCGCGUGAGUGAUGAAGGUCUUCGGAUCGUAAAACUCUGUUAUUAGGGAAGAACAUAUGUGUAAGUAACUGUGCACAUCUUGACGGUACCUAAUCAGAAAGCCACGGCUAACUACGUGCCAGCAGCCGCGGUAAUACGUAGGUGGCAAGCGUUAUCCGGAAUUAUUGGGCGUAAAGCGCGCGUAGGCGGUUUUUUAAGUCUGAUGUGAAAGCCCACGGCUCAACCGUGGAGGGUCAUUGGAAACUGGAAAACUUGAGUGCAGAAGAGGAAAGUGGAAUUCCGUGUGUAGCGGUGAAAUGCGCAGAGAUAUGGAGGAACACCAGUGGCGAAGGCGACUUUCUGGUCUGUAACUGACGCUGAUGUGCGAAAGCGUGGGGAUCAAACAGGAUUAGAUACCCUGGUAGUCCACGCCGUAAACGAUGAGUGCUAAGUGUUAGGGGGUUUCCGCCCCUUAGUGCUGCAGCUAACGCAUAAAGCACUCCGCCUGGGGAGUACUACCACCACGUUGAAACUCAAAGGAAUUGAUGGCGGCCACCCCCACCAGCGGAGCAUGUUGUUUAAUUUUGAAGCAACGUGAAGAACCUUGCCAGGUCUUGACAUCCAUAGCCAGUAUAAGAAGAUUAGAAGUUCCUUCCCCUUACUAUGACACAGGAUGGUGCAUGGCCGUCGUCAGCUGUUGUCGUGAGAAGUAGAGUUAAGUCCUAGCAUCGAGCGCAACCCUAGUCAUUAGUUGCCAGCAUUAAGUUGGGCACUCUAAUGAGACUUCCGGUGACAAACCGGAGGAAGGAGGGGAUGACGUCAAGUCAUCAUGCCCCUUAGGACCUGGGCUACACACGUGCUCACAAUGGACGGUACAACGAGAAGCGACCCUGUGAAGGCAAGCGGAUCUCUGAAAGCCCUUCAUAUUUUUGACUGCUCGCAGCAACACCCCCGACUGAACUUGGAUUAGCUUGUAAUCCCCAAUACUCCCCUUAUCGGCGAAUACCUUUCCAGGCCU